rnacentral:rRNA from 1 species
CAAGGAAUAUUGCGCAAUGGGCGAAAGCCUGACGCAGCAACACCGCGUGGAGGAUGAAUGUCUUCGGAUUGUAAACUCCUUUUCUGGGGGAAGAGAUAGGACGGUACCCCAGGAAUAAGUCUCGGCUAACUACGUGCCAGCAGCCGCGGUAAAACGUAGGAGGCAAACGUUAUCCGGAUUUACUGGGCGUAAAGCGCAUGCAGGCGGUUUUUUAAGUCGGACGUGAAAGCUCCUGGCUCAACUAGGAGAGGCCGUUCGAAACUAGAAGACUUGAGGAUGGUAGAGGAGAGUGGAAUUCCCGGUGUAGUGGUGAAAUGCGUAGAUAUCGGGAGGAACACCAGUGGCGAAAGCGGCUCUCUGGGCCAUUCCUGACGCUCAGAUGCGAAAGCUAGGGGAGAGAACGGGAUUAGAAACCCCGGUAUCCUAGCCGUAAACGAUGUCAACUAGGCGUAGGAGGUCAUUAACCCCUUCUGUGCUGUAGCUAACGCGUUAAGUGACCGCCUGGGGACUACGG